GAGAGGUGGAGCUUGCUGGAGGAGGUGGCUGGGGACUUUACAGUCCAGCUCCCUUGCCGGUUCUAGCUUUCUAGCGAGUUCACUCUUGCUGCUUCCUCCCUGCCGCUGACACGCGACGAUGUGAGCCAGCUUCCUGAUCGCGCCACGCUUUCCCCACCACGACGAAGCUUCCCCGUGGAACCGAAAGCCAAAGUAGGAAGAAGCCAAGGAGCUCCUACAGUUUGAUCCAAGCAUCAGAAGCACCCACUGUGUUCUGCUGUCCAGCCUCACUCGCCUGCAGCCGCCCCCCCUGCCCUCCAACAGACACUCCAACAGGCUUCAUCUCACUUAGGCAGGAUCUCACUAUGAGGCCCCAUAUCGAACUCCCAGCAGUCCUCCUGCCUCAGCCUCCCAGGAGCGGGCGGGCGCUACCGUUUCUGGCUGAGGUGAGCCAUUUCCCUCCACCAUAAGCUCCUGCCUUGUCACAGGCCUAAGACAGCAGAACCAACCAGGCACACUGGAGCUCUGAAACUGCACCGUCCUCUUCCUGGGGCGCCUGCCUCAGACACCUGCCACUGAGGCCCAAUGCUGACAGGCCACUGCCUCUUUAUCUGCUCCACCUUUGGGACACUGUCCUCGACUUUCUUGAACAUUUCACCACAGGCAGAAGCCCACCACCCCCUCAGGCCCUGGACGAUGAUUCCUCUGUCACCCACUGACAGGCUCUCACUCAGGUCUCGUUAGCCCAGGCUGGCCUGGACCUCACUCUGUACCCCAGACUGGCCUGGGGCUUAUGGUGCUCUCCUUCUUCAGCCUUCCCAGGACUUGGAUUAAAGCCACAAAGCAGAUCCCACGUCAGCACACCCGGAUCUCUCUUUGGAGCAUUUGCUCUGCUCUGAUGAACGAACUUCUGGUUACACUGUAUCUUGACUGAAUGCUUUCCAUGAAGAAGACAAGAGCCGAGAA